CUUCGAUAAGUGUUUGUCUGCAUUUCAUCUUGCUCUUAAUGAACCCAUCUGGGAAGCUAAGGGAAACUUUUCGGGGGAAGAAGCCCUACCAGACACAUUCAGGCAGAACCUUUCGGGGAUGAUCGAUGAUCUUAGACAUCUCCAUGCUGCCUUAAUUUCAGUGAUCGGAAGCUUGAAGAUAAGAUUUCUGCGAUUAUGGAGAUAUUCAGGAGGUUGCGAUUGCGAAGGCCCAUGUUGGAGCAUUUCUUGUAUCAUAUGUUCCAAUAGAGAAGCAACGAUGCCGAGGUUAACCCUGAGGAUUAACGUGCUUCAACUGCUACAAAUUGAAAACAAAAACGGGGGAACGACAAAUUGAAA